UCAUCAGUUUUCAGCUGCGUGGUGUCACCGGGGUUUGUCCCGGGGUUAAUUUUCGCUAUCGCUCCCAACCGCCGCCGCUCUUUUUCCACUCAAAAGUCCUUUCCGUCAUCAUCCUCCGACAAUAGCCCUCGUUCGAGGAACGAGAUAUCACCAUCUGGUAAAGUUUUAUGCGUUUAACGUCAUUUUAUAUGUGAGCGGAAUGAGUAACUGCUUUUCCUCGCCCGUUUCUUUGUAGGGAGAAGCAGGAGUUUUUAAACCAUCUUCCCGUGGCAUCUGACUUCCUCGAGGAGGAGAAUGCACCCAAGAGCAGAAGCAGUGAGGAAAAUGAAUCCAGCAGUCUGUCCCAUCCUGUACCCGCCUGAGUACAGGAGGAGACCUCUUACGAAGCCAGAAUGUGUCUGGGCUUGCAGCUCUUUUUAACCAUAUUAAGUCCUAUUCAGAGUUAAUGAUGAGGUCAGUGAGGCUGGUCCAAGAGGUGCUGAAGGAGGGAGGAACAGAGUUGGAAGGCAGGAGCUAUUUCAAAGCAGGAUGAUUCUUCUUUCUGUAGAGCGCCGUUUCCAGAAGGCAAGGACUUUAUAAACUU